rnacentral:lncRNA from 1 species
AGCUCCUCCAAGGCCGGCAGCAGGGACUCCUUCCUCUGUCUUUUGAUACUGCUGCUGGAAAAAGAAAACAAAAUAAUACAUCUAGAGAGGCCUUAAAGAUCCUAUAAUCCAAACCUUAUUUAUACAGAUUAAGAGGCCAAGACCCAAGGAGAUGAAUGGGUUAGUGGUUGAUCUGGCAUCACACUCUUCUUACCGGCUUAAGGACGUCCCUGGCAGAUCUGCCUUGUAGCACUACAAUUUAUAAAUAUAACAUCAAGAAGCUGGAAAAAGAAGAAGGAAGAAGAAGAAGAGGAGGAAAGAAGGAGGAGGAGAAACAGACACAGCAGCAGCAGCAGAAGAAGAAGAAGAAGAAAAAGAAAUUCUGCCUCAAAACUGCAAUGUAGAACCCCCGCCUGUGUGUUUAGUUUGCAGAUUUUGGACUCAAAACUGAAACAUCAGCUCUUACCCGAAUUUCCAACUGUGCUCCUGCUCUACAGAUUUUAGGUUUCCCACCCUCCACAAUCACGUGAGCCAACUCUGUAUUUGCAUCUAUGUCUCCUAUUGGCUCUGUUUCUCUUGAGAAUCCUAAUACAUCUGCUGAUUCACAAUGAGAAAAAAUCGUGAAAGUUAAAGUUGGACUUGAUUGAGUAACUGAA